ACACACCGCCCGUCGCUACUACCGAUUGAAUGGCUCGGUGAGGCCUUCGGACUGGCCCAGGGAGGUCGGCAACGACCACCCAGGGCCGGAAAGUUGGUCAAACCCGGUCAUUUAGAGGAAGUAAAAGUCGUAACAAGGUCUCCGUAGGUGAACCUGCGGAGGGAUCAUU
rnacentral:rRNA from 2 species